AGUGCGGGCGCUCCCCGCGCGGCAGGCUCGCCCCUUCCAGUUCCCCGUUGACUUCCCCUUCCGAUCACGGACUCUAUCCGAACUGCAGCCUCGCGGCGAAUCCAUCCCCCAGUGGUUCGGGCGCCGAGGCUCGGGGUGGGGCGUGCGAGGGUGCGGAGGUUGGCAGGAAUGUCUCCGGGAGGCUUGGACUGGAAACUGAGUUUUCCCUUUUGGUCGCCACUCCGACCAUGUGUUAAAAGCUUAAUUUUGCUUGUUAAAAAGCACACCGUCUCGCACGCGGGAAAAGGCACGUUGCCUUCUGGGCAAACCUGCGCAUUUUCUUUCAGUGUAGACGUAGGCUUAGAGGGGAAAGAAAAAAAAAAACCAAAACCAAACUUGUGCUCUGGCUUUUAAGUCAAAACUGGUCACUGUUGGGGGCGGGGGGGAAGAGAAUGUUGGCUCUUCCUUAUUCCUUUUCCAUCCCUCGAGGGGGAAAAAAAUUCCUACCCUUCGAAGGAUCAGUGAUAACCUUUAGCGAACGUCAGUUUUAUUGGACUUUUAUUCCCUCCCUGGCCGGCUCACCACCCCUCGCGUUGUGGAGUUUCGGUUGGAAAGUGUACAAAACCCUGUAGGUGUAGGGUGUUUAUAGGCACAUUUCUGCAGGAACCGGCAACGCUGAGCACACUUACGCCCCAGCUCACCUGGCGGACGCCGCCCAGCCAGGAGGAUAUAUGAUGAAGCUGGCUCCUAUGAGGAUUGAUGUUGAACAUUCACCUUUCAGAAGAUGCCCGGCAGACUGGACUUGAUCUCUACCCACUCUGCCUACAAUCUCCAGUCCGGGGCAGUCAGACCUGAUGCUCGGUGGUGACCUGAAACCAGAAGAAACCUCUCGCCAAGCUCACCAAGAAGAUUAUCCUUAAGCUCUUAGAAAUGGAGUUUGGAAGAACUUCUCCAGACUCUGUAGGUGUUGGUCAAUGGACCUUAACAAACAGAUGGAAAAGCCAGGAAGAAAUUGAAGCAGAAGGGACACCUUCACCAAAAUAUUUGUUAUACUGACCCAGACAAUUUCCCCAGGUGAUUCUUUAAAUUGAGAGCAUUUUGGAUACAUUGUAAAUGACUUCGUUCACUUGAAAGUGAGAUUUCUGUGUUCCAUUCAGAGAACCUGGUGAAGUGUAACUGAUUUUGAAAUCCUCGAAGAUCAUAUCAUGUUCAAGCUGAAAGGAGCAUUUCAGUCUCAUCGCCCCCGUUUACCGGAGAAAUGCCACAGCAACCUGGAGAUAUGAAGGGAUGGUGGCAGCACAAAGCUUUGUCCGCUGCAGGCCGUCCAGUUUCCAGCCUCCUCCCAAAACUGGGCACCUUCUUUGCAUCCCAGCUACCUGACUGUCCUGGUUAGAACUCUCUACAUGGUCCUCAGCUGCCCUCAUGGAUGCUUAAUCAUUAAUACCCUUCUGGAUUUUUUUUUUUUGGUAUUGUUUUUAUGGAAAGUUUUCAGACAUAAAGGUAGAGAAUACAAUAUAAAUAACUCCCAUGUGCCCUCACCCAGCUCCUACAAUUAUUAACAUAUGGCCAACCUUCUUUUAUCUAUACCCAGCUCCAGAUUCCACUCCUGCAAUGAAGAUUUUUAAAGCGAAUCCAAACAUCAUGCGAUAUCAUCUGUAAACACUCCGCGUGCACCCAUGGAAGAACUCUCCCAUGUGUUUGUACCUACAUAUCUGCAAUACGAUGAUUAUAACUAAGAAAAUGAAAAGUGACUCAAUAUCCAAUUUUCCCCCACUGUUUGCCUGUCGCUCUUGAGCAAUUGAUCUGUUAGAAUAAGGGUGCAGUGGAAAUUUGGGUCCCAGUACUCAUUCAAAGUUCUUGCAUGAGGUUGUUGAAUGAGAGGAAAUAAAUUACAUAAUAAAGACGUGCACUAUGUCCUAAGUUGCUUUAGUCAUGUCUGACUCUGUGCAACCCUGUAGACUGUAGCCUGCCAGGUUCCUCUGUUCGUGGGAUUCUCCAGGCAAGAAUACUGGAGUGGGUUGCUAUGCCCUCCUCCAGGGGAUCUCCCCAUCCUAGGGAUCAAACCAACAUCUCUUAUAUCUCCUGCAUUGGCAGGCAGGUUCUUUACCACUAGCGCCACCUGGGAAGCCCUUAAUAAAGAUACUUUGUCAUGAUGAUAGAUCACAGUUACCUAUGCCUUUACAUUUCCUAAGUUUCUCUGACCCUGACCUUCCUGUCAGAUGGAAUAGACGGGUGUCAUUUGCCUCCUGUAGAGGUAACCAAGGCCUGGAGAUGCUUCAGGAUCCAAUUAGUGGUCAAGCGGAGACUACCUGUUUCUUGAUGACAACAAAGCCUUGUAAUCACCUCCAUUUCAUUAAAAUUUGAGCCUC